GUGUGCUGCCAGUCGCAUUUCGGGAAGUCUCUGCGCGCUUGUCUUUCAGACGUUGAGCUGUCUGCUUGCUGACCUCUCAUACCUUCCAGACCUUCUCAACUGUGUCGCCAUUGCUGCUCGCAGUAAUCGCUUCCCCUUCUCUUUACUGCGCUAAACUCUGCUAAGAUGGCGCUGCUCUGCAGCCUGAAAACACACGUGCGCCACGGCUUCGAGUUUUGUGCAAUUGGCGCCGGAUUCUCGGCGACUGAUUAGCCAUGGAGCCUGACCCAAAGAAGGUCAAACUAGACAUCUUUGACUUUCCGACCGCCAGGGAGACACGGACGCCGGAGGAAGUGGCAGAGAGCUACGCGGAAGCCGUCAAGUCACACCCCUUUUACGACAACGUGCACUCUGCGAUCGACUUUUACGAUAGCGGUACCAUCAAAGAUGGUCGCGGGCAAAUCAUUGGUGUUGUGCUGCGAGAAGCCCUACCAAAGUACGCGGCAUCCAUGGCGUCGGAGCUGCUCGCAUCCGCUGCCGUGCGCACCUCGCUUCGGAGCAUGAUGUUUGGCGGAGAGUCGCCCUUGAGCGGUAUUGCUGGCUACUUCGACUACCGGGGCUCACCGGUGGAGCUGAAGUCACGCAAAACGUCCUUCACAUAUGAACACGAGGCAGCGUGGCCGGCGGUCUUCCCUGUCGUCGAUUACGUCAGCGAGCUCUACAGGCAUGUCGCGCCGGAGCGGUGGAAAGCACAAAACGACGCCAUUCCGGAUGUUGUGCGUAUUCACGGAACCCCGUUCUCCACGCUUACCAUCAACUCCCGCUUCCGCACAGCCUCUCAUACCGACGUCGGCGAUUUUGACGGUGGCUACAGCUGCAUUGCUUGCCUUGACGGGCAGUUCAAAGGGCUGGCCCUUGCUUUCGACGACUUCGGCAUUAACGUGCUCAUGCAGCCGCGCGAUGUGAUGAUAUUCGACUCGCACCACUUCCACUCAAACACGGAGGUGGAGCUGUCGUUCUCAGGGGAGGACUGGAAGCGACUUACCUGCGUAUUCUACUACCGGGCCGCCCUCGGUGAGCCAGCAAGCUACGCCGAGUACCGGCGCCGGUUGGAGAAGUCCAAGCAGGACACCAGCUUCACUCCAGUGGUGAGCAACGUGAGGGUGAAGGAGAAUGGCACAAACCUGAACCGUCCAUCCCCUGUGUACCCUAUCUUUCUCUCGCCGUUUUGGGUACCGAUGGUGGCGCAUUGCCUGCAGCACUGCGCAUCGGAGGCACAAUGCGUUCACGACGCCAUGACGGCGGAUGGGAGUCGGCUGGCUGAGGUUAUGUUUGGGGAACCGCUGUCAACCUCUGACGGCAUCCCACUGCGUGGAGAGGAGGAGAAGCUGAAGGCCAACAGUGACAGCGCGUCCAGGCCGCUCUCGCGUCUGGGUGGGUUCAGCGAGACGAAUCUUAUGGUGUCCACGGCAGUAGAAAAGAAGAAGUACCUCAACAGCGAGUUCCUCUCCCACUUCAUCAGCGCGCAGCUGCUGGACAUGUGGAAGCAGGCACGCGGCAAGUGGUUGGAGCUGGUAGGCAGGGAAUGGACGCACAUGCUGGCCCUCAACCCCGAGCGCAAAGACUUUUUGUGGAAGAACCAGUCCGAGAUGAACUCGGCUUUUUUCGACCUCUGCGAGGUGGGGAAGCAAGUUAUGCUCGGCCUUCUGGGCAAGGAGGCGGCUCUGCCAAAGGAAGAGCAGGCUUUCUGGACUAUGUACGCCGUGCACCUGAAUGCGGCGUGCGCGGAGGAGCUAAACAUGCCGCACGUCGCCAUGUCGCUUCGCAAGCUCAACGUGAAGCUGAAGGACUUCAACUUUGGCGGCACGCGAUACUUCAAAGACAUGCCUCCCGAGGAGCAGAAGCGCAGAAUGGAGCGCAAGCAGCGCAUUGAGGAGGCACGCCGCCACGGCAUGUCGUCCGGCGCACACGAAAAGCGAGCGAACUGGCUGACCAACGACUCAUUCGACUAUCAAACUGAGGACUGCGUGGUUGAUUACGCCCAACACAAGUGGGUGCCGCCUGCGCUUCACGCAAAGGAGAUAACGAAGAACGUGCGCAAUGGCGAGCUGCCAACUAGGGAAGGAGUGGUGCGAGUGCUCGUUGUGCUGCCCGACCCGCAAAGCAAGGUGGAUUGUGUGGACUGCAAGCUGGAGGUGUCGGAGACGGUGAGAUGUUCAUGCGAGUGGGAGCGUUUGAUGAGCAGCCCGGCUGUGCAUCGUGUCCUAGCCGCUGCGCAGCGCAACCUGCAGCUUCCUGACAGCGUCACGCAUGACAAUAUCGAGAUCCGCUUUGCCUUCCAUAGCAGGCUGCCUACGGACAUGUGCGACUUUGUGGUGCUGCAGCAUGUCUUGAGCUGCAUCCCAGACGACGUGCUGGCCUCGGCGUAUAUCAGGCGCUCUGCAGCGCUCUGUUCCGGCUGUGUAUUUGUGGUGGAGACGGACGUGCAAUGCCGACAAUACUACACCCUCAAGUGUUCCGUUCGCUGCGACUACGACGCGGUCGCACCAUUAUUCUUCCAGCAGCUGCACCGGGUGAGUUACGGGACGAAAGCGGCACGCGUGCGCACCAAAGGAGAACUGGAGUCUCUUAUCCCCACGGUGUGCUGUGCGCGUUACAAGCUGCAAGGUUCGCCGCUGAACACGACCGUUCACGUCGUGGCUCCCGCUCCGCCCCGCUGAAUGCAGAGCAUUUGUUCUCCGAUGCGCGGAAUGGCCUCGCAGUCGCAGGAAAUACGUUUGUGUGCAUAUUCUCCCCGAAGCUAUAUCUUAGCUGUACGCGCUCGCCUUACGCUGCAUAGACCCCGAUGAUGCCGGCCACCUCAGUGUGGUAUCAGGGUCCCGUGCCCACUCUUUCUGGGAAAGCCAUGCAGCCUCCGGCGUGCCUUCAGGUACAUCUGCGGGCUCUUGGUGUCGGCGGAAAUGUCUGGGCUGGCGUCGUGCCAAAGAGACACGUGCGGUCAUGAUGAUGUUCGCACCAGUCCCCUACGAAUCGGGUCGACGAUUCAACUGAUCCACGCAUCCACCCACUGCCUUUUUCUUCGUUUGCUGCGAUGCGGCGCUGUCGAGACUCAUGCUGGACCUUGCCUGAAGUGUAUGCAGUGACAUCGCAGUGUGGGCUGCACAACACGAAACAGUAUUCGUUAUCCGGGCUCCUGGACAUAGCCGCAGUGAAGCAGAGGUAGGAAAACUGCUGUUGUGUGUAUGCGCAUACUUGUCGACUUGUUCGUGGAAGAACGCCAUGCUGAAAAGCGUUAUCUCUCUACAUAGAUGUGGUGCGCGGUCUGAGGAUUCGGAAAGCGUUCUCAUAGCAGUGUAUUUCUUCAUGGAUGUCUGUGGAUUAUGGGAGAGGAACGAGGGAGGGUAUUAUCCCGUGCAGCAGGUGCUUUGGAGGUGCCCGUGGUGGGGGACCUAUCGUUUUCUGCCUCCUCCUCCCCCCCCCUUCACUCCACUCUGACGGUUUUGUGUCCAUCCAUACACUUAUGCGACUCAUUUUCACUCGUCGUCGCAGCGGAGUGUCCUCGCCAGAGGACGCACCCGUGACGUGAUGCUACGCAACGCAUCGGAGGGAGAAAAGCUUCUUUCUUCACCUGUCUGUGUGCCUGAGCAUGCAUUGGUUGAGGAAGUGCUUGCGCGCCCGUGCGUUUUUGCGUGCGUAUGUGCGUGGGCACUCUAGCGAGCACUGUCGCGUACUGACUCCCUUUCGUGCCUAGCCACACCCCUGACACACGCACAAACAAAACCCUGUGCCAGAGUCCAAGACGUGCUAUCGAAGCACCCGCGGCCAAAGAGAGGAUGGCGGGGAGAGAAAAUGGGGGGGGCGUGGGUGUGACCGUUUGCCGGGCGAGCUAAUCCUUGCCCUUUCCUCAAGCUUGU
rnacentral:misc_RNA from 1 species